UACAAGGCACAGUUUCGAUCGAGGUACCUCCGCCCCCUGUUUUUCAUUGGAAAUGGUGAAGGUCUGAACAGAAUUGUUCACAGAAAGAUCCUUGAGCAAAAUGUGCAAACAAGACAAGAUUGGACCAGAGAUACGAUUUUCCAAGAUGCCACGGUCAAAGCUCGCCUGGUCAGAGUUCAAGGGGUGGUGCGAAACUACCGAGUCUUCGCAACAAUUGGAGGUGCGGCGAUUGAGGUUCAUGCAAACAUCCAAAACUGCCUCUGGAAAGCACAACAAGUUUCCUUUUACCUCGGAUUUACCAUCAGAGGUCCCGUCGCGUUUGACAUCCAGACAAAACCUGGAGCCAAAGAUAAGAAAGCAGAAGAAAUCUCAGGGGAGAAUUUUUUUAUUGGCUCAGAACCCGAGCAAAUAAAACCAGACGAUACCACUGGAGGUGGUCAUUUUGUGGAUCGCCAUCGGACACAACUGGUGCAGAGCGUGAGCGACACGCCAUUCGUCCUGAAGAAGCUCGAGGACGAGGGCUAGAUCUCGGAAAAGAACUCAGAGUCGUUGAG